CCUUCCACUGUGGGCAGAAGAUCCUACAUAAGAAAGGCAAAGUAUACUGGUACAAGGACCAGGAGCCCCUGGAAUUCUCCUACCCUGGCUAUCUGGACCUGGGUGAGGCACAGCUGAGCAUCAUUGCCAACGCAAUCAAUGAAGGCACCUACACCUGUGUGGUGCGCCGGCACCAGCGAGUUCUCACUACCUACUCCUGGCGGGUCCGAGUGCGGAGCUGAGCCUGCCAACAGCCUCUGUGCUGGAAGUCAGCAGAUAAAGCGCUUUUCCUCUGA